CUUCAACACCACCUACAGAGAUCCCCUGUGGAACUCCUCUCACACUUCAAAUCCACUUUUCAGGAAGAACCAGUCCUUUUGAGGCACUGCCCUGAUUGCUCACACCCCUCCCAGAUAAUCUCCCUUUCUUACAGUCAACUGUGCCGUGUGUCAUGACCUGUGAUGGAGACCACUACACGGCAGCUCUGAAAUUCAGCAGGACUGAAAUUAACCAAUUGGCCUUCCAUGUUUACUUCACCCACUCUGUGGCCUUCCCAAAAGGAAGCCUUCUGAUGCCACCACAAUAGAGCCACCCAUAGCCAGAAAGCAGCAGAAUAAGCGCACUGGCCCCCUUCCUCUGAUGACAUUGCUCUCUCAUUUCGGCUGUGUGGGGACACAUGAGGGAGGUGAAAGAAAAGAAACCCAACCACAGCCACUCCCUUCUGUAAGU
rnacentral:lncRNA from 1 species